ensembl:lncRNA
UAAUCAAGACAAUAAUAAAUAUUGUCUUUCCAUACAGUUUCUCCUAUGAUCUUAGUAGCAGACCAAUAGGGAGAAGAGAACAAUUCAUGUUUGAGAGCGUUGAGAACCAAGGCCCAGAGAGGGAAAGUGAUUUGCCCAAGGCCCCUCGGCAAGUCUGGUGGCUGGGGACUAAGCAGAGGGUCCUUCACUCUUCUGGGUGCUUCCUGCCCUCCCCGUGGGUACCAGCAAUUCACGCUUUAUCCGGGAGGCCUCCAGGCUGCAGGAUGGGCUGCCUCUCGACUGGGCUGCGCUGAGUCUUCCUUUCGGAGAAGGCAAUGGCACCCCACUCCAGUAC